GGCGCGGUAGCUCAGCUGGUAGAGCAGCGGACUGAAAAUCCGCGUGUCGCCGGUUCAAUCCCGGCCUGCGCCA
rnacentral:tRNA from 1 species